rnacentral:rRNA from 1 species
ACAGGGAUUGCCCUAGUAACGGCGAGUGAAGCGGCAACAGCUCAAAUUUGAAAUCUGGCGUCUUCGGCGUCCGAGUUGUAAUUUGCAGAGGGCGCUUUGGCAUUGGCAGCGGUCCAAGUUCCUUGGAACAGGACGUCACAGAGGGUGAGAAUCCCGUACGUGGUCGCUAGCCUUUACCGUGUAAAGCCCCUUCGACGAGUCGAGUUGUUUGGGAAUGCAGCUCUAAAUGGGAGGUAAAUUUCUUCUAAAGCUAAAUACUGGCCAGAGACCGAUAGCGCACAAGUAGAGUGAUCGAAAGAUGAAAAGCACUUUGGAAAGAGAGUUAAAAAGCACGUGAAAUUGUUGAAAGGGAAGCGCUUGCAGCCAGACUUGCCUGUAGUUGCUCAUCCGGGUUUCUACCCGGUGCACUCUUCUACGGGCAGGCCAGCAUCAGUUUGGGCGGUUGGAUAAAGGUCUCUGUCAUGUACCUCCUCUCGGGGAGAACUUAUAGGGGAGACGACAUGCAACCAGCCCGGACUGAGGUCCGCGCAUCUGCUAGGAUGCUGGCGUAAUGGCUGUAAGCGGCCCGUCUUGAAACACGGACCAAGGAGUCUAACAUCUAUGCGAGUGUUUGGGUGUCAAGCCCGAGCGCGUAAUGAAAGUGAACGGAGGUGGGAACCUUUCGGGGUGCACCAUCGACCGAUCCUGAUGUCUUCGGAUGGAUUUGAGUAAGAGCAUAGCUGUUGGGACCCGAAAGAUGGUGAACUAUGCUUGAAUAGGGUGAAGCCAGAGGAAACUCUGGUGGAGGCUCGCAGCGGUUCUGACGUGCAAAUCGAUCGUCAAAUUUGGGCAUAGGGGCGAAAGACUAAUCGAACUAUCUAGUAGCUGGUUCCUGCCGAAGUUUCCCUCAGGAUAGCAGUAACGUUUUCAGUUUUAUGAGGUAAAGCGAAUGAUUAGAGGACUGGGGGAUGAAACAUCCUU